UUAAAAAAGUUACAAACAGGUGGACUGCAGGGUCGUCUUACAAAAUGACAAGAAUGAAAUCUAUUGGAAAAAUUUUAUUUUUACAAAUCUUUAUGUCAUUGUUCAAUGUCUGUACUUGUUAUUCGAGACUUUUUACCUUUCAUUGAUAAAGUUACAGUACAUUAGAUCCAUGAUAAUAGGUUACAUGAUUUUAUUUGCAGAGCCCUACUGCAGUGAUUUGAACAACUCCUAAACAGAUGCCACAGUAAAGAUGAGACAUAUAUUGCAUUUAAUAUUAAUUUAUUAUCCUAAUAAGCAACUUGACAUGCAAUCUAUUGAGGAAGCUAAAAUAACUUUUGGUCCCUUUUCUUAAAAUGUGCUGGAGAAACCACCUUUAAAUCACUUUCCCCUGAUUCCUGAUUCCUGUGAUCCUAAGUGAAUUCAAGUUAAACUUGCUGCUGAGGUCAGAGAGCGAGCGAGAACGAGCGAGCGAGAGAAUGGGAACUAUCCAUAGGAAAGAAACACUGUAUUAAAAAAAAUCCAUCUGCAGAAAACUUAAAUCAUUAUGAAUGAUUUGAUUCCUUUAGAAUUUCACAAAGCUAAUAAAGAUGAACCACAAUCACUUAACCUACUUUGAACUGAGUGUUUGGUUUUAAGUUUGGUGUUAAAGUGCAAACUUAAAUUAGGUAUUCAUUUCAAGCAGUUUAUAAAUAAGAAACAAAGUUUCAAUUGCCUCCACCCUUACAAUCUCACCAUAAAAUUCAAAAUCUAAAAUCAAGAGUUCACUUUGAGGGAAUUUGAUCAGGAAUCAAAUGCAACACGAUUUUAAAAAAGGAAAUCAAAGUUUAAUUAAUUUCUACGCAAUAAUUAAUGGUCAUGCUGACCAAUAAAUCACAUGAAUGUAGAUAACACUUUAUUUGAACAUCACACACAAUAUAAAUUUAAAAUUGCCACACCCUUCCAAAAACCAUCACUGCAUAUAUUAGAGCUUUCCUUGACAAAGUUAUUGAGCUAUUAUUAUAGAUCAAAAGUAUAGUUUUGGUUUUUUUUGUUUUGUUUUAUUUAGAAGCAUGUUCAAAUGACUAAAGCUGGGCUCCUAAAAUCGAGAACUUUGGUGCAGUAGGUGAGCUGCAGUUAUUAACUUCUGCAAAUUAAAAGCACACAACUAAAACCAAAUAAAAACCCAACAACAAAAUACUGUCAAACUUACAAAAUUUUUAAAUCAUUGCUAGAAAAAGCGCUCGUCAUGAUGUUAAAACUGAACCACAAGAUUACUCUUUAUAAGUUUUCUUUCUGCUUCUAUACCUGUGUUACUGUUAAAAUGUUCAAGUAUUCAGACAAAAUGUGCUGAUUAGGUAAACAACAUGGAAGGCAAUGGCUAUUAGAAGCACAUUUGCAAAAAAACAAA